GGAAUUUUGGGCAAUGGGCGAAAGCCUGACCCAGCAACGCCGCGUGAGGGAUGAAGGCCUUCGGGUCGUAAACCUCUUUUACCAGGGAAGAAAUAUAUGACGGUACCUGGGGAAUAAGUCUCGGCUAACUACGUGCCAGCAGCCGCGGUAAUACGUAGGAGGCGAGCGUUAUCCGGAUUUACUGGGCGUAAAGAGAGCGUAGGCGGUUUGUCAAGUCGGAUGUGAAAUCUCCCGGCUCAACUGGGAGGAGUCAUUCGAUACUGAUGGGCUAGAGUGCAGCAGGGGAAAACGGAAUUCCCGGUGUAGUGGUGAUAUGCGUAGAUACCGGGAGGAACACCAGAGGCGAAGGCGGUUUUCUAGGCUGUUUCUGACGCUGAGGCUCAAAAGCGUGGGGAGCGAACAGGAUUAGAUACCCUGGUAGUCCACGCCGUAAACGAUGGACACUAGGUAUAGGGAGUAUCGACCCUCUCUGUGCCGAAGCUAACGCUUUAAGUUCCCGCCUGGGAGAC
rnacentral:rRNA from 1 species